rnacentral:rRNA from 1 species
GACGAACGCUGGCGGCGCGCUUAACACAUGCAAGUCGAACGGAAAGGCCUGCUUUCCCUUGUGGAUUGCGGGUACUCGAGUGGCGAACGGGUGAGUAACACGUGAGUGAUCUGCCCCCAACUUGGGUAUAGGCCUGGGAAACUGGGUCUAAUUCCCGAUAGGACUGCAGGGUGGUGCCUGUGGUGGAAAACGAUUUUCUAGUGGUUGGGGAUGAGCUCGCGGCCUAUCAGCUUGUUGGUGGGGUAAUGGCCUACCAAGGCGGCGACGGGUAGCCGGCCUGAGAGGGUGGACGGCCACAUUGGGACUGAGAUACGGCCCAGACUCCUACGGGAGGCAGCAGUGGGGAAUAUGGCACAAUGGGCGGAAGCCUGAUGCAGCGACGCCGCGUGGGGGAUGACGGCCUUCGGGUUGUAAACUCCUUUCGACCGCGAGGAAGCCACCUGGUUGGAAGGGUGGUGACGGUAGUGGUAGAAGAAGCACCGGCUAACUACGUG